GACUUUGAGCUUUACUACAAACUCCCACCUUCAUAUCACUCACAAAAGCACUCAAAUCUUCAAGCUUACAUUAUUUUAUGCUCUGUACGUGGAUCUCCACCUUGGAUUUGUGGAAUUCUCACCUUGGAUUUGUGGAUCUCCCAUAAGGUUGUUUCAUCAACUCUAGAUCCUUUGCUCUACAUCUACAUGUUUAGGAAGCUGGUUGGUUUUUCUGAAAAUGUUUUGUCGUGCCCUCAUGUCUGCACUUUCAUUUGUUGCUCUGCAAAUGCUCUUCCCUUACUUCAUCCCAACCUCAAGCUACGGAGUUAGUGAUCUCCAUCGUCAACCGAUUUGUACUCUGAUAGAGUGAUCUCCAUCAUCAACUGAGUCAUCGCCAUCUUCAAGCUAAAGCUACGGAGUCGCACAUCGACAUCCUCAUCCUCAACCAAAAGCUCAAGCUCCAAGUGAGAUUAGGAAGAUCAGUAGUGCUGAAAUCAACGAUAGUGUAUAGAAAUAAGCUGGAACAAAUAUUGCGAGGUGUUUUCUCAAGUAAAAGUAGCAAGAUAUCCAGAUUUAAGUGAGAGAGUUGGUGGAAGUAAGUUAUUUUGGAUAGAAGAAGAAGACAAUGGCAAAACAUGGAAAAGCUUCAGUUGAUGCUAAGGCUCUUACUACAACAAAACAUAUGAGAAGAAGAAAUAAGAUAUCUAUGGCUUGGGCUAAAGAAGAUCUACUGAGAGAACAAAACAAAGAAUUGCAAACUUAUAGAUCAGUGAUGAAACUCUUCCUUGUGACUCCAACGUGUGAACUGUCGCGUGUGACAAUAAUAUUGAAUCUACGAAACAUGAGAAAUCUUGCACGAGCCCAGUAUCGAAUGAGAAAACGAGCUCUGAAGCUAGUUCUGCCACGAGAAGUUUACUGCUAAGCAGUGCAUCAUUCCUGAGCGAAUCAGAAGAGCUUUUUGGUACUGAUGCAUGGCAGCCUGCAGCAGCAUCCUUCAAACAUGAUUGCUCACAUAAUGGAACAGUGGAGACAAAACUGUUGCUCGAUUGUGCAUGUGAACUACUGAACAACAAGAAGGCGCAAUGCACACUGUUUUUUGAUCCAUUAUCCAGUAAACUGGUUAGAAGAUCUAGAGUUAGUGUUUCCCUUGACAUGCUUGUUUUUGAAAUCUACGAGGUGAUUGAAUGUUUGAGGAGGUACAAUGAUCCUGCUGGAGCCAUUAUUAGUGUCGAUACGCUUUGUUCCUUAACCAGAAAAGAUCAGUGGUGCAAGGGAGUGGUGAGUGGAACAUGGGAUUUGGGUUGGAGUAAAGGAUUCACUUCAAAUGAAGUGGAGAAGAUAAUUAGCCGACAUAGAGAAGCAGCUAUUGUGUAGUAUCAUUGAGGAUACAGUAACAGAUUUUGCUGUGUAAAUGUUACAUUAUUUUGGUAUUGGAAUCUAGGAGUUCAACUUCUAAUCUGUAUAUAGCUAUACUCUUGUCAUGCUGAUACAAGGAGAUUUGGGAUUUCCUUUUUCCAAAUCCAACUAUUAGGGUAUUAGAUGUAAUGAUGUAUUAUGAACAAGAAUGGCGAGUAAUGAAAUAGGUUUGCUUUUUUUUUU